UUGAAGGUGGUUGCGGGUGAUCGAGGCGAACGAGGAUUUGUGCGCGGUAUAACCCGAGGUGGUUAGCUGUGGUCGUUGGAGGUGGUUGUCGGUGGUUGGAGAUGGUCGAAGGUGGUUAGAGGUGGUUGUGGGUGAUUGUGCGGGACAAGGAGGAAGACAAGGAGGAGAAGGACGAGGAUUUAUGCAUGGUAUAACCCGAGGUGGUCCGCGGCGGUCGCUGGAGGUGGUCGGAGGCGGUAAGAAGUCUUUGCGGCUGAUCGAGGGCGACGAGAAGGACGGGGGUCGUCAAAGGUGAUUGAAGGUAGUGCGAUGGUGGUGAGGUGUUGGGGUGGUGUAGUCAUGGGUUGUUGGGGUGUUGGGGUAGUGGAGUGAUGGGGUGGUGAUGGGGGCAAACCUACCCCCUACCACCUACCCUCUACCCUGCCCUACCCUACCCUACCCUACUCCUACUACUACUACUCUUACUUCUACUGCUCCUACUUCUACGUUAACUCCAACUCCUACUCCAACUCCCACUACUCCAACUUCUUCAUCUACUACUACUCCUACUCUAACUCCUACUCCUACUCCUACUUCUGAUCCUACUCCUACUCCUACUCCUGAUCCCACUCCUAUUCCUACUCCUAAUUCUGAAUAUUGAUGUUAUGAAAUAUGUAGACUGCAUGUCAAAUUGAAUCCCAUAUCGAAACGAACAAUUCUGUUAUUGUCAUAUUAUAGCCGAUUAUUGUAAAUAAUCUAGUACGUUUCCUAGAAAAUUAUAAAAUUUAUAGUAUGCAUCAUGUAUUGAUAAUAAAUA
rnacentral:lncRNA from 1 species